UACGGAGGGGGCGAGCGUUAUUCGGAAUUAUUGGGCGUAAAGGGCGCGUAGGCGGCUUGACAAGUCAAAGGUGAAAUCCCUCGGCCCAACUGAGGAACUGCCUUUGAAACUGUCAGGCUUGAGGCCGGGAGGGGGUAGCGGAAUUCCCAGUGUAGCGGUGAAAUGCGUAGAUAUUGGGAGGAACACCAGUGGCGAAGGCGGCUACCUGGACCGGUACUGACGCUGAUGCGCGAAAGCGUGGGUAGCAAACAGG
rnacentral:rRNA from 1 species